rnacentral:rRNA from 1 species
GAUGAACGCUGGCGGCGUGCUUAACACAUGCAAGUCGAACGAUGAAGCGCAGCUUGCUGGGUGGAUUAGUUGCGAACGGGUGAGUAACACGUGAGUAACCUGCCCUUAACUCUGGGAUAAGCCUGGUAAACUGGGCCUAAUACCGGCUAGGAGCGUCCACCGCAUGGAGGGUGCUGGAGAGAUUUAUCGGCUUUGGAUGGACUCUCGGCCUAUCAGCUUGUUGGUGAGGAAAUGGCACACGAAGGCGACGACGGGUAGACGGCCUGAGAGGGUGAACGGCCACACUGGGACUGCGACACGGACCAGAAUCCUACGGGAGGCAGCAGUGGGGAAUAUUGCACAAUGGGCGCAAGCCUGAUGCAGAGACGCCGCGUGAGUGAUGACGGCCUUCGGGUUGUAAACAUCUUUCAGUAGGGAAGAAGCGAUAGUGACGGUACCUGAAGAAGAAGCACCGGCUAACUACGUG